ACACACACAGGAGUGAAGGCAGCAGAGCCAAGCAGGAACCCGUCCUGCCCCAGGCCUGAGCUUUCUUAAGAGGCUCAUGGGGCAGAAAGGGUCAUUGUGCAUUUUUGUUGACUAUUGAUUCUCCCCUUCAUUCAACAACUGUACUGAGGCCAGAUCCCAAACUGAGCUCUGACGAGAUGGAGAAGCAAAGGACACGGUUCCUGCCCCCAAGGAGCUCCCAGACAAGCAGGAGAGAAGGUGGCUCCCAGACAAGCAGGAGAGAAGGCAGCUCCCAGACAAGCAGGAGAGAAGGCCGUGGAAAUGAUCCUUCUGAUACCACAGCCUGCCGAUGUCAUCUAGAACUCUGGGGGAUUGGGGGAAAACGAACAGAACCAGAUUAAAAAAAAAACCCUGUCCUUAGCUAGGUGUGGUGGUGGGCACCUGUUAUCCCAGCUACUUGGGCGGCUGAGGCAGGAGAAUCGCUUGAACCCAGGAGGUGGAGACUGCAGUGAGCCAAGACUGUGCCACUGCACUCCAGCCUGGGUGACAGAGCGAGACUCUGUCUCAAAACAAAAAAUGAAAAACAAAAAUGAAAAAGAAAAACAAAAACCAAACCCUGCCUUGUAAUUUUGACUUUUACUUUAUCCAAGUCAGGACUCCUGGUCUGAAGAAUAUUUGACCUCAUAACUAUUGGGGGACACUGGGGCUCCCUGCCCAGGGACAGGAUGUUCUCUGCAGAUAUCAGGACGUGGGUGCCGAUGACAAGGGCGCUUUGCCGCCAUGGCCCGGGGCUGGAAGCGCAGCUCUCAAAGGCCUGUGCUGGGGGCUUUCUGAGAGGUCAUCUGAUGAGAUGCUCACAGAGGCGUUGAUAGAGGAGGACCUGGGAUGUCGAGAAGAGAAACCGCAUGAAGGCUUUUGCAGCUAGCAGCGGGCGCAGCGGAGACUUGACCCUGGCGAUCUCGGAGGCGUAUAUCAAGCUGUGUGUGCCCUGUCCUGCUUUUCUCACAGGCUGCUGGGAGGACAAACUCAAGUCAGGGAAGCAAAAGGGCUUUGUACACUAAAACUCUGUCCCAACAUGAGUUGUUUGUCUGUUUCAAAUUUUACCAGCAGAAACGUCUGUCUUACCCCACUCUCUCCACCCCAUUUCUCUCUGCCUCAAUUAUCUGGUUUCAUAACCGUGGUGUGUCUUGUUGGAUUUUGCUGUCUCAAACAAACAAACAAACAAACAAAAUCUCUUCUACUAACUGAGUAUACUGUGUCCUUAAUGCAAACUUUGUUUCUCUGUAAUUCUCUUCCUUCCUCCAUGUCUCGAUCCAGCACUGACUUUGUCUUUGCUGUUCUGGUUCCACAUCUGGUGAUGUUUUCAGCUGCCUGUUAUUGGCUUGCAGGAUGGCUGGAAAUCCAACCUGGGUAUAGGACGGCAUAGUGGUUAUACACAGAGACAGACCUGGGGUGAUUUGGGCUCUACCUCGUGGUGGCUGACUUCGGGUUUCCUGUCUAAGGGGGAUGAAAGUCUUUCUCUUCUGAGGAUUAGAUAAGAUAAAUGCCUCACAAUGUAAUUAGACAGAGUGUCUCUUUGAAUGAGUAGGUCUUGAGGGUCUUGGAAGAAUUCUGCAAUCUGUGCUCAGGACCCCUGAGCCCUGCUGCUUUGCUCCCAUGGCACUUGGGACACAUGGCCAUGAGUCCAUGUGAUGGGCUGUACUCUCACUACUAUAAUUGCUGAACUAUGUCAUCAACUUUUGUUUUCCCUUGCUCUGUUCUUUGGAGCUGGGGUGGUGUGUCAGAUUCAGGCUUGCCUGAACUUGGAACCUCAGUACCACCACCUCACAAUAUUGCCAUCUUUGGGCCCUGUCCCCCAUGGUGUGCUUGGCAUACAGCAGGCGUCCCAUCCGCGUGUGUUGUUGAAGGAACAAAUCACAGCCAUGCUUAUGAUGCGACUGCUGCAUGGCGAGAGACCGGGCCAGGCGCUUUGCUAAGACCCACUCAUCACCGCUUAUACAGAGCGGUGAAGCCCAUCUGACAGGGAGACCACAGAGCCUGAGAAAUGAAUGCCCUUUCCCCAGCCGACUCAGCCAAAGCCUGAGCUUCCAGAUGGGCACCCUGGCAGCAUGUAGCAGGCCAGGGUUUGCAGGGCAGGGGAGCCAUUCUACUUCAAGGCAGCAGGCAGCCCUCAUGGCUGGUGGGGAGGCUACUGACAGUCACUAGCUGUGACUACUAGCAGGCAGGUUUUAGGGAAUGACGCCUCGAUUUUUCACUUUGAGGAAACCCUUGAUGUGCACCGUGGCAGUGGCAGAGGCUAAUCGCGUGGAUCUGGGAGCUAAUGCAGCUGCUGUAAUUCCUGUCACCUUCUCACAGCUCAGUGGGAGCUUCCGAUGAAUAAAUCGUGGCAUUCAGGGGCUGCAUACAUCAGUGGCAGGUGUCACCGUCAUAGGUCGGGCAGGGCACUGGUGCUCCACCUUGCCUUGUCUUUAAUUAAAGGAGGAAAUAUGUCAGAACUGACAGGACCACUGACCAGCCUACCAGGUCCUUUCCAGUCGCA